UUCAGAUCAUCUAGAAGCUGGACUGAUUUAAAAUAAUGUUCAAAAUGCAAAGAUGAAUUGAACAAUUUUCGAGGAGCUGAAUCUAAAGAGCAUGAGCAACACUUCGGUGAGCUGGAGCAAGAAAUGAACGAUUCGUACCUUUUUAACCUAAGGAUACAGAUACCAAGGUUCAUCAUGCGACUGCAAUCCUACUUGGCGAUAAAAGUAACUAAAAGCAUGAACUUAUGGGUGGUGCGUUUAGAUGAACUCCAUUGCAUACUUUGUGUUUUGCUUACGGACGACAUGGUAUUUGUUUGAGAACUCUUUCAGUGAAGUGCAAAAAACUUUCAAUGUUCAACACAAAUAUCGCGCCCAGAAUUCUUUAUCAGCAAAUAUAAACAAAACAAAAGCCUUUCGAUCGUCAUCCAAGUGAAUCCCUAUUACAAUGAAUGGAAAAUUUAACGACCUGAUAAUUAUUUUGAACAAAAGGACAAUCAAGCUCUGGGUAAGGUGAAAGAUAUUCUUUUAAAAGGCAAAUCAAGCUCGACAGAAACCAAAUUUAAGUCAUUCGAAACCAUAGCUGCUGCCUACUACCUUGUUUACAUCCGACCUUUGGCGAGUGCACAUCUAGACGAAAUUAGAACAAUUGAAUUAAAGUUAAUCAAAAAUAUUUUUCAUUUGUCUGUAAAUACUUCUAAACAUCACAUCAGGGCUGAAUUUGGCUGGAAGUCUGUCAGAGGAAUGGCUUUACAAAAGUGUGGUGU